rnacentral:rRNA from 1 species
UACGGAGGGAGCUAGCGUUGUUCGGAAUUACUGGGCGUAAAGCGCGCGUAGGCGGCUUUGCAAGUUAGAGGUGAAAGCCCGGAGCUCAACUCCGGAACUGCCUUUAAAACUGCAUAGCUUGAAUCCGGGAGAGGUGAGUGGAAUUCCGAGUGUAGAGGUGAAAUUCGUAGAUAUUCGGAAGAACACCAGUGGCGAAGGCGGC